AGUGGUCGCAUCAUUUUGUGCAUAUACGCUAAGCGUUUAAUUGGUUCUUUAGUGACGUGCCACAAGGGACCAUGCACACUGUCCGACAGCCGCUGAGCCAAUUCGUAUAUUUAAGAAGCUGUGUUGAUGCAGCUUAGUCUUGCAGAGGCCGCAAAAUUUUAUGUCUUGUCAUCGGUCACAAGAAAAGCUAGCAUAAUAAAGUAACGGGGCACGAAAGGUCUUCACGAGUGGUUCAGGCAGCAAUUGAACAACACUUUGAAAUUGAACCUUCAGGCCAUGCGUUCACACGCGCCAGUGCGUUCCGACAGGCUGCGCAGUCCUUUGAAGAAGUGAGAGGCAGCAAUUUUUUGUUGUUGUUGCUUUUGCGUAACAAAUGUUGAAGGACGAAUAUAUAUAAUGACGGAAUAUAUACCAGCUAUACAAAAGCGAUGACGGCGGUUCAUCACACGGGGAAAAACAGCAACCAUCAUAUACAGACGUCAGUGACAGUUCAUCUGGCAGUUAGAUCACCUUCCGGCUAAAGGAUGGUUCUGUGUUUUGUUCUGGACUGAUAGAACUCUAGUAAUUAGAGUGAAUAAUGAAAUCAGAAUCAAAUUUAUUUUCGCCAUAUAUGCGGGUGCGCAUGCAACGACCACUAUUAUGAUAGCAAGAGUACGUGGAGACCAGUGUGCAAGUCGCAAGAAGAAGACAUAUCGCGUAAGUAUUACAUUUGCUUUACCAAAAAGCACAAGAUUUCAAUACUUCAAAAACGGAUAUGUUUGCAACACUAUUGUGUCGUUCAUUAUUGCUUUCUUCUUUUGUAGUUAAACUAUCGAGAAAAUAACUAUUUAACGGGGAACAAAAUUUAAUCAAGUGGAUAUUGCAUUAGACAGUUCUCGUAAUCGUCAUCUGAACUGCAGAAAGAGUCAAGCAAAAUUGUUCGCGAACGGCGCGUUAAUUGUAAACGGCCCUGUCGCAGUACAGAAAAAAUCGUCAAACGAACUAAGCGCAGGCGACUCGUGGACUGUACAGUUCUAGGAAACAUUUCAGUUGAAUGUUUUCACUGGGGAGGGUGAAAGAAGCGAUUAUACGAAGGCGAAUUGUGAAGAGAUGUCAAAAUCUGCAAUUUUUCUAGCUAUUGUCGAUUCGUCUAAGAAUAAUUAAGGCUGCAUGCCAAUCAAUGUAAAUCAUAAAAUAGAGCAUUUCUGCUGUCGACGUGGAUUUGAUUGGGAAGAACUAGAGUUAGAUCAAAUUCUUCCAAUUUUCGCUCAAUUAACUAAUGACGUUCAACAAUCAAGCAGUUAAGAAUUAAUAAAUUCAUGGUAUAUCAUGAGUGUUUUUUCAAGCGCCGUCUCCUGUGAAGCAUAUCUACCAUUUUCGUGCAAAGCUCUCUGGAAAGCGUAUUGACUGUGUAUGCAUGCAUGCAUCUAUCGAACUUCGUGCACAUAUAGACGUGAUGCUUUGACGAUAAAUACUUAUUAAAAUUCAAAUUAUUUAUUUCUGCCUUGUAAAGGUACAGACAGCAGAGGCGCAGAAAAAGCUGUCAGAUACAGAUUGACAAAGCCGCAGCCCCCUUUCGCUUGGCAGAGCCUUCACAGCGACACUUUUAAAACAAAGACAAUUGCACCCGGUAAUAACAGGUAUACAAUACUGAGCAAGUACAAAAGGAAACCAAUCAAGAUUAUACGAUAUUUGUACAAUACUCCCAAACAAGAAAACAGAACCUACAUGCUAACGUACAUAGCACCCAAAGUACUGUUCGACACGUUGAAGAAGUCAAAAUUAUUGUUCACAUAAGGUAUAUACAUAUUCGUAUAGCGCUACCAAUCCCUGCAAAAUAUAGAACGCAGAUUUUCAUUACACACACGCACGCACGCACGUGCACAGCACACACACCAAAAGGAAACGGCAACGCGCUCACAGGAAGCGCCUGAAAAACGAAAAAAAAAAAGGAAAAGUGUGGGGAACCGAGGUCGUCUUGGGCUGUCGCCUCUCCCUCUCCCAGAAGGAAUGAAGAGGUUCUUGGAAAGCAGGGACGGGCGAUUCUCUCUGUCAGCAUCAGCUCCCACCAGCGAGGACGGGGCGAGAAAGCGAAACGGGACUUUCCUUGCUGUCUAUUUUUUCUUCGUCAGGCCAACGCCGCUUGCUUGCAGGGGCGCAGGCGAGUUCCCGCCAAAUGGCGCGGGUGCGUGAGUUGCCGCCAAAUGCUAGCUCUGGAUGCCAGCUCGUUCCGCGUCUCAUGGUAGACUAGUUGGUGCAUUUCUGUUAUCAUGGACUGCGCAUAUAAACGCAAGCUACACAAAAGUGACAUGGACAAGAACAGCGCAAGCCCUUUACAUGCAGUGGAGCCGCCGUAUCUCGCCGUUCAAGAUAUGCGUACUCGAAAAAAAAAAAAAAAGGCUUUACAUGAGAACGGAUCAAGCGUUCGAGAGUUGGGACAGGGAAAUGUGAGACGUACGUAUGUAUAUAUUUCUAAUAUUAUUUUUUCGUCUUGUAUUCUCGUUAAUUUUUCUCUAGGAAACACUGGAACGACACUGCUUAAAUUGAAGCACAGUGUGCGAAUGACCUGCUACGCUCGGAACUGUUAUCACCAUUCGGGAAGAAAUUGGAUGAAAAAACAUAACUGUAAAUACCUGUAUGAUAUACGUCUGGUGCAUUGCAGGUAAGAAUGGAUUGUGUGUGGCGCGCUUCACCUCAUGUGGACUAGAGUAGAUCUAGGAACAUCAGACAAGAAGACACGUAUGUGAAACCCUGCGGAUAGCCCAUAUGUGAACUUUUUUUUCCAGAUACGGAGGAACGGACACCGGUCAUGCCGUGCGCACUCUUCUGCAGGGCAUACUUACAAAUGAAGCUGCACUGCAGUUCAGCUGGAAAGGGUCGCAGGGGAGGAAGCACGCCUUCGUGAAGCUCAUGGCCAUCACGAAUAUAACAUCUGUGAGGAGCACGUUCCCUGACGCUUCACUAGCAUCAGUGGCUGGAGUCGCAAAACGCCGGUUGGUUGGAGCAGCUGACAGGGAUGGAGGCCGGAAUGAAAGAAGGCGCCGUGACCCUGCUUCAAGCCCACCAAAUAUGAACUAGUGUUUGAAACUUGUGAACGUGUCGGUGUACAUAUACAAUUACAAGAAAUAAAGACCUGUAUCAGAA